AUUUAUUCUCCAGGUCUCAGCUGCAUUGCCACUGCCUUAGGGGAGGCCUUCCCUGACUGAUUUGAGGAGGUGCGAUGUCCAAAGGAUGCAGUUUUAAGGUCAGAUUUUUGUGGUGGGCCUCUUGGCAUCUUCCAGAAUUUAAGAAUACUCAUGAGUCUGGAAACAAUAAGAGGUGGUAUGGGUUCAGCAUAAACCUUCAAAGCAAUCACUAGGCAUGGUAAUUAUAUGGUCUUCAAGCAAGUGGAGGCUGAUAAUUUCACAUAGAGGAGGGAAGAAGAAGCUGCUUUUGUUGGAGCAUGCUCAACCUGAGUGCUCGGCAAGGCAAAUGGAAUGGAGGAUCCACACUCCUGGAAGCAGCUUUCAACCAACAAUGAUGGACAGUUAGUGGCUAGAAACUCUCGCUUUAUCCCUUAGUUGGGCUUACCCUGUAUGAUCAUAUACCCUGUCGACAGCACCACUGUUGUCCAGCACUGUUGAGUUCCAGUUGCUCAGCAUAGUGUUGAUCAAGAAUUUAAGGUGCCUUCCCUCUCCUGGCUCUCUCAUUUUCCCACUUUAUUAAUAGCAUUUCCAGGGAUCACCUCUCAGUUUAGCUACUUGCAUUCAAAUUCUUGUCUCAGGAUCUGCUUCUGGGUGAAACCAAGACAUCUAAGUUCCACUGGCAAUGAAGUAAUUAAUGCCUUAAAUCUGAUUAGAUCUAUAAACUAAUUCCAGAUUCUCAUCUUUAAGGUUGGUCUCUGUGAUGAUUAAUAUUGAGUGUCAACUUGAUUGAAUUGAAGGAUGCAAAGUAUUGUUCUUGGGUGUCUGUAGGGUGUUGCCAAAGGAGGUUAGCAUUUGAGUCAGUGGACUGGGAAAGGCAGACCCACCCUCAAUCUGCGUGGGCACAAUCUAAUCAGCUGCUAGUGUGGCCAGAAUAAAAGCAGGCAGAAGAACAUGAAAAGACUAGACUAGUUUAGCCUCCCAUCCUAGAUCUUUCUCACGCACUGGAUGCUUCUUUCCCUUGAACAUCGGACUCCAAGUUCUUCAACUUUGGGAAUUGGUCUGGCUUCCUUGCUCCUCAGCCUGCAGAUGGCCUAUUAUGAGACCUCACCAUGUGAUGGUGUGAGUCAAUAUUCCUUAAUAAACCCCC
rnacentral:lncRNA from 1 species